AUUGAACGCUGGCGGCAUGCCUAACACAUGCAAGUCGAACGGCAGCAUGUUGUAGUGCUUGCACUGCAAUGAUGGCGAGUGGCGGACGGGUGAGUAACGCGUAGGAAUCUACCCUCAAGUUGGGGACAACCCGGGGAAACUCGGGCUAAUACCGAAUAUACUCUAUGGAGGAAAGCUGGGGACCCGGCGACAGGCCUGGCGCUAGAGGAGGAGCCUGCGUACGAUUAGCUAGUUGGUGAGGUAAAGGCUCACCAAGGCGACGAUCGUUAGCUGGUCUGAGGGGAUGACCAGCCACACUGGGACUGAGAGACGGCCCAGACUCCUACGGGAGGCAGCAGUGGGGAAUAUUGGACAAUGGGGGCAACCCUGAUCCAGCGAUGCCGCGUGUGUGAAGAAGGCCUGAGGGUUGUAAAGCACUUUAGUUGGGGAAGGGAGAGUGGAGUUUAAGAGACACUGCUUGAGACAUUAACCAAAGAAUAAGCACCGGCUAACUCCGUGCCAGCCGCCGCAGUAA
rnacentral:rRNA from 1 species